GGCCACGACCGUACCGUGUUGGAAACACCGGCACUAGUCUGAUCACCGAAGUUGGGUAACGUUGUGGCUGGUUAUUACUUGCUUAGGUGACCGGCUGGGAAUAUCGGGUGUUGUCGCCG
rnacentral:rRNA from 1 species